CUGCCCUCAAGCACGGCUUGUGUGUUGGGCCCCGCCCCCCGGCUACCGGGGGGCGGGCCCGAAAGGCAGCGGCGGCACCGCGUCCGGUCCUCGAGCGUAUGGGGCUUCGUCACCCGCUCUGUAGGCCCGGCCGGCGCCCGCCGGCGACCCCCCUCAAUCUUUCUCA
rnacentral:misc_RNA from 1 species